rnacentral:tRNA from 1 species
GCCUGGAUGGUGGAAUGGUAGACACACGAGACUUAAAAUCUCGAGCCUUUCGGGGCGUGCGGGUUCGAGUCCCGCUCCGGGCACCA